rnacentral:rRNA from 1 species
GCAAGUGAACGCUGAAGGAAGGAGCUUGCUCUUUCCGGAUGAGUUGCGAACGGGUGAGUAACGCGUAGGUAACCUGCCUGGUAGCGGGGGACAACUAUUGGAAACGAUAGCUAAUACCGCAUAACAGUAGAUAUCGAUGAUAGCUGCUUGAAAGGUGCAAUUGCACCACCACCAGAUGGACCUGCGUUGUAUUAGCUAGUUGGUGAGGUAACGGCUCACCAAGGCAACGAUGCAUAGCCGACCUGAGAGGGUGAUC